UACGUAGGGUGCGAGCGUUACUCGGAAUUACUGGGCGUAAAGCGUGCGCAGGCGGUUCGUUAUGUCCGAUGUGAAAGCCCCGAGCUUAACUUGGGAAUGGCAUUGGAAACUGGCGGGCUGGAGUGCGGCAGAGGGGGGUGGAAUUCCACGUGUAGCAGUGAAAUGCGUAGAGAUGUGGAGGAACACCGAUGGCGAAGGCAGCCCCCUGGGCCGACACUGACGCUCAGGCACGAAAGUGUGGGGAGCAAACAGG
rnacentral:rRNA from 1 species